GCUUAUGCAUCAUGUUUGCUAGUGAUGCGAUGAUGCAUACAUCUCUUAUGCCAGAGAGUAUUAUGAUGCCCCCUUGCUCUUUCUGGAGCCCUGAAACCACCAUGUGAACAAGUCAGAGCUAGCCAGCUAGAUGGAGGAUGAGGCCACAUGGAAGAGAACCAAAGCUCCCAGGCCAACAACCUGCUCACUGCUAGUCAUGCAGAAAAAAGGUCAAUGGACUAAGUCACGCCAGUUCAGGAGUCUGGACCAAUUCAUCAUCCUUGGUGCCAACCGACCUUCUUGGAACUAUAUCCAGAGAUAGAAUCAUUUCAGAAUCACACUUCGAGAGAUGUGCAUACUAUGAAGGGCAUGGAGAAACAGUGAGCAGAGAUGGACGAUUUGUGCCUCCGUCUCAUCAGAAGCAAUGUCAAUCAAGUUGAAGAAUGCAAGAAAUGGGCUUCCAUGUUUACAUUGUUACCUUAGUAGUUUGCAACCAAAUACAUACAUACAUAUAUUUGAAUUUGUGUGAGUUAAAUGCAUCUAUGAUAUGGCUCCACUAUUUGGGAAAUUAUAUCAGUUGGUAGCGGAACAGUCAAGGAUUAAAUACAAAAUAAAACUGUUUUUUUUUUUGGUUCAAAUCUUCUUUUACAGUUUUGUUGUUCAAAUCUUCAUCUAUAACCUCUACACUGUGGGUUUCUGGAGGAUGGGUGCCAUGCUUUAGGGUCCAGCUCAGAACCUUUCUAAAGUGGAUGCGCAUUAAAUGAAAACAGAACAGGAAAAGGCAAGGCUACCCCUAGUGAUAGAAUGGGUCUAGGUUACAAUCAUCAGUAGCUGCUAAUAUCACAAAAAGAUACCACCUGCCCCGAUGAAGGCUCAUACCCCACCUAUGAAGUACUCUAGCCAAAUAAUCCAAUCUGUUCAAGUCUCUUGAUACAACUACACAUUUACAGAAAAUGCAAGUAAUAAGGAACAUAUUUAAUGAUAUCACAGGAAGACAAUCAGCAAAAAACACACCAUGCCUCCCAAAAUACCCAAAAUGUUGAAAGCUACAAAGCAACCAAUAUGGUUUCUUCAACAAAUAAACUGCAAGGGAGGAAAAAGGGGAAAGAAAAUAAAAGGAUAAACUUAUAUUUUCAAAGGGAUUUAAGAAACAUAUCAACUAAAUGCAACAUGUAGACCUUAUUUGGAUCCCAAUUUGAAUAAAUCAAUAGUUUAAAAAAUUGUGAG